rnacentral:rRNA from 1 species
UACAGAGGGUGCUAGCGUUGUUCGGAAUCAUUGGGCGUAAAGGGCGUGUAGGCGGUUUGUUAAGUCAUGUGUGAAAUCCCUCGGCUCAACCGGGGAACGACGCAUGAAACUGGCAAGCUAGAGUACCAAAGAGGGGGGUGGAAUUCCCGGUGUAGCGGUGAAAUGCGUAGAUAUCGGAAGGAACAUCAGUGGCGAAAGCGACUUCCUGGACCAAUACUGACGCUCAUGUGCGAAAGCGUGGGGAGCAAACAGG